GUGAGGAAUAUUGGUCAAUGGGCGAGAGCCUGAACCAGCCAAGUCGCGUGAAGGAAGAAGGAUCUAUGGUUCGUAAACUUCUUUUGCAGGGGAAUAAAGUGCGGGACGUGUCCUGUUUUGUAUGUACCCUGAGAAUAAGGAUCGGCUAACUCCGUGCCAGCAGCCGCGGUAAUACGGAGGAUCCGAGCGUUAUCCGGAUUUAUUGGGUUUAAAGGGUGCGUAGGUGGUUUGAUAAGUCAGUGGUGAAAUCCUGCAGCUUAACUGCAGAACUGCCAUUGAUACUGAUAGCCUUGAGUUUGGUUAAGGUAGGCGGAAUGUGUAAUGUAGCGGUGAAAUGCUUAGAUAUUACACAGAACACCAAUUGCGUAGGCAGCUUACUGAGCCGACACUGACGCUGAGGCACGAAAGCGUGGGGAUCGAACAGGAUUAGAAACCCCGGUAGUCC
rnacentral:rRNA from 1 species